UACAGAGGGUGCAAGCGUUAAUCGGAAUUACUGGGCGUAAAGCGCGCGUAGGUGGUUCGUUAAGUUGGAUGUGAAAGACCCCGGGCUCAACCUGGGAACUGCAUCCAAAACUGGCGAGCUAGAGUACGGUAGAGGUGGUGGAAUUUCCUGUGGUAGCGGUGAAAUGCGUAGAUAUAGGAAGGAACACCAGUGGCGAAGGCGACCACCUGGACUCGAUACUGACACUGAGGUGCGAAAGCGUGGGGAGCGAAACAGGAUUAGAUAC
rnacentral:rRNA from 1 species